GUCAGCUCAGAGCAGACUCUGAAGGAGCAGGUGGCUCAGCUUUUCUCGUUCGUAGACCCAGGCCAGGAACGUCUUAAAACCUUCAGGCUAACCAUGUCACAGCGAGGGUCUUUGUUUUCUCCAGCAUGGCUGGGACCUGAGCACUGGCAAGGUGAUGUAAGAUGGGACUGAGAACUGAAUCUUCUUCUCCGCCUUGACUUGUGCACAGUGACAAGGAAAUUACCUGCCACGCCCCUCCCUCCACACAGCUUACUGUCUGCAUUGACAUGACUUUACUAUUUCAUGCUUUACACAACCUGUUGUAUGGAAGUUUCUAUUUAAAUAUGUCCUCUUUAAUGUAUGCGG
ensembl:lncRNA